CCGGAAGGGGCUAUUCUGCCAGCCCAGGUGGGAGAGUGGAGGUCCCUGGCCUGGAAUGGGCCUUGAAGGAAAGAGGAGGAGAGGGAAGGAAGGAUCCUUCAGGAUCUGAUGCCACAAAAAUGGGUGACUGAGACAUCCCCCACAUACAACUCCGCCUGAGAGCGGCUGACACCUGCACAGGGACGAUAACAAGUCAGAACCUUCGGCAGCGUGGGGACCAGAACUCCCGCCCUACCAGCCAAGAGCACCCAGAUGGCUGAGAUAGUUCUUGCUUAUUCACGUCUCCAAGGAUAAAGAAAGCCUACCUGA